rnacentral:rRNA from 1 species
AGAGACCGGCGCACGGGUGCGUAACGCGUAUGCAAUCUACCUUUUACAGAGGGAUAGCCCAGAGAAAUUUGGAUUAAUACCUCAUAGUAUAGUACCUUGGCAUCAAGGAACUAUUAAAGUCACAACGGUAAAAGAUGAGCAUGCGUCCCAUUAGCUAGUUGGUAAGGUAACGGCUUACCAAGGCUACGAUGGGUAGGGGUCCUGAGAGGGAGAUCCCCCACACUGGUACUGAGACACGGACCAGACUCCUACGGGAGGCAGCAGUGAGGAAUAUUGGACAAUGGGCGCAAGCCUGAUCCAGCCAUGCCGCGUGCAGGAUGACGGUCCUAUGGAUUGUAAACUGCUUUUAUACAGGAAGAAACACUCCCUCGUGAGGGAGCUUGACAGUACUGUAGGAAUAAGGAUCGGCUAACUCCGUGCCAGCAGCCGCGGUAAUACGGAGGAUCCAAGCGUUAUCCGGAAUCAUUGGGUUUAAAGGGUCCGUAGGCGGCUUAAUAAGUCAGUGGUGAAAGCCCUACGCUUAACGUAGGA